GAUGAAGAACGCAGCGAAAUGCGAUACGUAAUGUGAAUUGCAGAAUUCAGUGAAUCAUCGAAUCUUUGAACGCAUAUUGCGCUCUUUGGUAUUCCGAAGAGCAUGCUUGUUUGAGUAUCAGUAAACACCUCAACCUCUUCUUGAUUUUUCAAAAGGAGGGUGGACUUGAGCUAUCCCAACAACCUUUACCGGUCGGCGGGCGGCUUGAAAUGCAGGUGCAGCUGGACUUUUAUCUGAGCUAAAUGCAUAUCUAUUUAGUCCUCGUCAAACAGGAUUAUUACUUUUGCUGCAGCUAACAUAAAGGAUAAUUGUCCUCUUUGCUGACUGAUGCAGGAUUUUACGACACUUUAUGUGUUGUUCAACUCGAUCUCAAAUCAAGUAAGACUACCCGCUGAACUUAAGCAUAUCAAUAAGCGGAGGA
rnacentral:misc_RNA from 1 species